CAGUCGCCGCGGGAAUACGUAGGUGGCGAGCGUUGCCCGGAAUUAUUGGGCGUAAAGGGAGCGCAGGCGGACAUAUAAGUCCAUCUUAAAAGUGCGGGGCUCAACCCCGUGAGGGGAUGGAAACUGUAUGCCUUGAGUGCAGGAGAGGAAAGCGGAAUUCCCAGUGUAGCGGUGAAAUGCGUAGAUAUUAGGAAGAACACCAGUGGCGAAGGCGACUUUCUGGACGAAAACUGACGCUGAGGCGCGAAAGCCAGGGGAGCGAACGGGAUUAGAUACCCCCGUAGUCCCUGUCUCUUAUACA
rnacentral:rRNA from 1 species